AGGCUGCUGAACUCAAUUUAUGUCACCAAGGACACAGCAACCUGCCAAUUUCUUGUCUCCUUGUUCAGAAGAGAGCCUGAAUAACUGGCAUCCUGAUGUUCUUCUGCUUGUGCUGCAUUUGUUGUUUACUGGGGGAGAACCUACUCUUCUUGAUGUCAGACAGCUUGUCUCAUCUGUGCCUCUGUUCCUCACAGUGCUGCCAGACGAAAAGUGUUGGAUGACGAGGAAGCUGUGCUUAGCUUUGUCUUGAUUCCUACCAAUGCCACAGGCUCUUCUUGACAGUAGGAAAAGACAGAUUCAAGAUCAUCUGUUUUUAGUUCAUGCAUAGGAAAAUGGAAACUAGACCAAGAAGGCCAAGAUGAAGGCGCUGAUGGACGGUGUCCGGCGAGGUCCACUUUCUGGCUCACCGAUUGCACCGUCUUGCUGGGUCAUCACACAGCAGAGGUGGGGAGGCAGCUUGCUGAAGUCAUUUUUAUAAAAACACUAAUUCCAUUCUAAUGGCUUCCCAAAGGCCCGGCUCCUGAUGCUUGGGGUUUAGGAUUUCAACAAUGGAAUCUUCCGGGACAGAGACAUCAAGAUUCAGUUUGCAGCAUCCACUAGACAAUUCUUCAAUUACUCUACAGAUCUUCCUUUCUGGGUCACAGAGAGCAUGUUCAUUGCCUUCAAGAUGCUUAUCCUCAGUCAGUGGUUGCCACGAGCCAGGGUGGAGGGAGAGACAACAAAGAGACGGAACACUCCUUUGUGUGAGCACUGAAGACUGUGAGUGCGGCACCCGAUGGAGCAAAGCAACUUUUUCACCUUUGAUUCCCCAGCAUCUUCAGCAGUUGGGUGGAGGAAAUCUAGUCUCAUGGCAGCCUGGAAGCAGCGGGAAAGAGAGAAGGAAGAAGUAACCUGCCUUGUCCAAUUAGAUUCAACAUCCUAGCAGCACCUUCAACUCUCAUGAGUCCAGCCUCCCAUGACGGGGUCACCUUCCCAAGCCCUACCUCUGGACACACGUGCUCUGGAGGGACAGUCCUAACUGCAAAGGGUGUGCAUGGAAUGCCACGUUUAAGUGCUGAAAAGUGAAAACAUAUAUUUUGGGUCCGUUAGCUCUCAAAAUGUUU